GCCUUCAUGGGGUAGUGAAACCCGCUCCCAGCCGUUUCGCUGGUGGGAAUAAAUAUCGGGGAGAGACGGUGGUUCGAACCCACCUGGAGACA